AUUCCAGAAUUUUUUGAAGUUGACGAGAGUGGACGAAAUGUCGGAGCUUUUUCUCAUAUCCAGAAAUGUGGCCUCUGCCUCCCACCCGGGCCCUGCGGUGCAGACGGGUUCAGGGCGGCGAGGACUGAGCCAGGAGCGCAGAGUUCCAGCUGCUCCCAGGCUGGGCUCUAAUUAACACUGGACCCCUGCUGAGAUGGAGUCUCUGUCACCCAGGCUGGAAUGCAGCGGUGCAAUCUCGGCCACUGCAACCUCUGCAUCCUGGGUUCAAGCAAUUCUCCUGCCUCAGCCUCCCAAGUAGCUGUGACUACAGGCGUGCACCACCACACCCAGCUAAAUUUUGUAUUUUUAGUAGAGGCAGGGUUUCAUUCUACGUGGGCCAGGCUGGUCUCGAUCUCCUGACCUCAAGUGAUCCACCUGUCAUGGCCUCCCAAAGUGCUGGGAUUACAGGCAUGAGCUACUGCGCCUCGCCUAACUACCCCUAUUCUUUUCCAGAGAAACGUGAGCAGACCAAAAAAGCCUCACCUGGCUAUCCCGCCACUCUGGGGUUGGGCCCCAAAAGGCCCGGGAGGUCACCUAAGACGCGGUGUUCUGAACAUGCAAGCCCGAUAGCAUCUUGUCUACCAUCCUGCCAGCGUCCGGAGGCCUGGGAAUAGGUCAUACCCCCCAGUGGAUUUUACAAGCUUGGCAUAAAUUAGGUUCUCAAUAAAUACUGAAUUAAUGAAAAAAUUGCUGAAGCAACAUAAAACAUCCAUCCAAACCCCACACCAUCUACUAGAUAAGUAGUCUGUGGGGAGUCCCAUUUUUUUUUACUUUAGAUAUUUAUUUUGGAAAUGGACUGUAGGCCCAACAUGGUCAAUGAAACUUGCAGAGGAACAUUUCAUGCCUUUAAUUAGUUCUUCGUAACUACAGGGACCUCUAGAGUUCCUGAAAUUGAACUGGGUUGUAAUACUGUCAAGAAGGAGGACCUAUCUUAAAUCUAUUUCAAGGAUAAUACUAUUUACUGUGUAAAUUUUCCCCUGCUCAGGGACAUCCUGACCAUGCAUGGUAGGCUCAAAGCAUGCAAAUAUUUCAACAUGCAAAACCGCCCUAAAAAUAUAAGCAAAGCUUAUGAAGUUGUCCAAGGUACAGUGGUUUACUGGCCCCUGAAUGCUGGACUCCAUCAAACUGUGCUUCAGACUGGGAGGUCUCUGAACCCAAUUUGUAGACAGCCCGCUUUGGAGUUCAACCGAUGGGACCUUAGACACCAGCCUCACUCUCUGCAAGUCUUGUGAUUUGGAGCCAGAUACUUGGCCUCUCUGUGCUCUAGGGAGACACCACUGCACCUACCUGAGAGGACUGAAGGAGACGAUCCGUGCAACUCACUCAGGAUACUGGAUCUUAAGCCAAUGGUCGGACUCACAUUCGUCACCUCUGAUUCUGUCGCCUCCUGCGCGGUGACUUAGCAAACACUUCUUACUCUCCAGCUCUGCUUCUUACUCUCCAGCUCUGCUGCCCUGUUCCGGUGCUGACAUCAGACAACAGAUAAUUUCCCAAAUGCUUUUAUUAGCCCUUAGGAGUUCAUGUGUUCCUCCCCCAACCAAUAAAGCUGUUAAAUCCCAAUAACUGUCAGGAAUGGAGCCAAUUGCUAUAAAGUACUUCCAGCUUCUUGGCAUGAAAAAAUAAUUAGAAUAUAUGUGUUGGCUUUGAAACAACACUCACUGCUUCAUUAAAAAAUUCUGUGCAUAUUGUACAAAA